rnacentral:lncRNA from 1 species
GGCAAGGACAGUUUGCAGUAGCUCUAGCCCUAAGACAGACACAUGUGCAGGACACAGCCACGGUAAAGGCUGCAGAACUUGCCAGCCAGUGGGUAGAUGAGGCUGAACCAAUACAUACUGGGUCUGCAUGUGGAAGAAUGAGGCUUGCAGCCAACGGCCGUCCACAUCUCUGAUGAGGAUCAGCACCUCAACUGUCAACUGAUGAAUCUGAGCUCAUUUGCUGAAGGGAUAAACCAACCAGUGAAUCUCAACUCCAUCCUUCUACCACUCGGGCCUUAACUCUAGUGCCAGACAAGAGAAAGGGAAAAAUUCUUGGAACCUCUAGAGCUAGCCACACUUGAAAAAGAGAAGAGCUAGAUGUCUUUUGAACCAUCCUGUCUGCUUGACCAGUAGGACUGCUCUGUAUCAGUGCCUAAGUCCCUCCCUAUGGGGUCUCCUUCUUGUCUUAGAGUCAGUUGAGGGGAGCCCCCAAUGCCUUUCUCCCUGUUGCUCAUGAAGGACACUACUGGUUGACCACAGCUCUUUCCCAUGCUGCUCUGGACAGCAGUCACAUCUUUGCCAUUAUGGAACUAGCUAGCAAUCAUGCCUCAUGCUGUCACCUGUAAGAAGGGAGAGUAUUUACUCCCAUAGCCCAUGAGCAGUGUCUACAGCUGUGGACUGUCCAGAGACUAGAUAACCAGUGAUUCAGAAGCCUGGCUGCAGAUCUGGUCGCUUGAAUAAAAAUGCCCCACGUGCCUAGAGGGGGUGGCACUAUUAGGAGGUGUGACCUUAUUGGGAUAGGUGUGGCCUUGCUGGAGGAACUUUGUCCUUGUGGGGACAAGCUUUGAUAUCUCAGAAGCUCAAGUCAGUUCACUUCCACUGCCUGUGGAUCAAGAUGUAGAACUCUCAGCUCCAUCUUCAGCACCAUGGCCGGACUGCUUCAUACUGCCGCGUUUCCCACCGUGAUGAUAAUAGACUAAACCUUUGAAACUGUAAGCCGGCCCCAAUUAAAUGUUUUCCUUUAUCAGAGUUGUCACGGUCACAGUCUCUCUUCAUAGCAAUAAAAAUCCUAACUAUGACACUUGGGAUGCUCUGCGAAUUGUAUCUCUGGGCCCCAGCAUUUAGCAUAUUCCUGUUCUUUCUCUAUGGUGCCAU